UGGCUCAGUGGCAGAGCACUUGCCUUGCAUGCAUGAGGCCCUGGGUUCGAUUCCUCAG
rfam:Dipodomys ordii contig_13156, whole genome shotgun sequence.